GCCUUCGUGGUGUAGUGGUCAGCACGCUCGACGCGUAACUGAGAGGUCCCUGGUUCGAUUCCCGGAGAAGGGG
rnacentral:tRNA from 1 species